rnacentral:tRNA from 1 species
GGUCCAGUGGCCGAGGAGAUAGCGGCGCUUGGCUUAAACGACAAGACCGGGGUUCGAUUCCCAUCUGGACCG